CCUACGGGAGGCAGCAGUGGGGGAUAUUGCACAAUGGGGGAAACCCUGAUGCAGCGACGCCGCGUGUGGGAAGACGGUCUUCUGGAUUGUAAACCACUGUCCCCAGGGACGAAAAUGACGGUACCGGGGGAGGAAGCUCCGGCUAACUACGUGCCAGCAGCCGCGGUAAUACGUAGGGAGCAAGCGUUGUCCGGAAUUACUGGGUGUAAAGGGAGCGUAGGCGGGGAUGAAAGUUGGGGGUCAAAACUACCGGCUCAACCGAUAGUCGCACUCAAAACUGCAACUCUUGAGUGAAGUAGAGGCAGGCGGAAUUCCUAGUGUAGCGGUGAAAUGCGUAGAUAUUAGGAGGAACACCAGUGGCGAAGGCGGCCUGCUGGGCUUUUACUGACGCUGAGGCUCGAAAGUGUGGGGAGCAAACAGGAUUAGAUACCCUUGUAGUC
rnacentral:rRNA from 1 species